AUACCUUCCUCUUUCAGUACUUCAGCCUUAGACAUGAAAGGCUGUUAGGGCACACACAGUCAAGAGUACAAGAAGUCCUGGUUUAUGUAAGCUGGAAGUGGUGCACCUCUGCAGAGCAGUGCAGAAAAAGCUUAUUUCGUGCUGUGCAGCUUCACUAAAAAGGGAAAUAAUUCCUUCUGGAGGCUUGCAACUGUAUCUGCUCCUAUUAAAGGAUGUGCUGUCUCAUGAGGAAGAAAAGUAAGCAGUAGAAGUUCCUUUCUCAUCUUGCUAAGGCACUAGAAUACAUCUCAGCAUUACAAAGUCUUCUGGGAAUACUGCUUGGAUUGCUUUAUAUCCUAAUAAAAUCUGAUUUUGUGCAUAGCA
rnacentral:lncRNA from 1 species